rnacentral:rRNA from 1 species
GGCGCACGGGUGAGUAACGCGUACACUACCUACCUUUUACUGAGGGAUAGCCUUUGGAAACGAAGAGUAAUACCUCAUGGUCCCUACGGGGUAAAGUUCAGGCGGUAAGAGAUGGGUGUGCGUACCAUUAGCUAGUUGGUGAGGUAACUGCUCACCAAGGCUACGAUGGUUAGGGGGCGUGAGAGCGUGAUCCCCCACACGGGUACUGAGACACGGACCCGACUCCUACGGGAGGCAGCAGUAAGGAAUAUUGGACAAUGGGGGCAACCCUGAUCCAGCCAUCCCGCGUGCAGGAUGACGGCCCUAUGGGUUGUAAACUGCUUUUAUCAGGGAAGAAUAGCAGUCAUUUACGAUUGUAUGACGGUACCUGAGGAAUAAGCACCGGCUAACUCCGUGCCAGCAGCCGCGGUAAUACGGAGGGUGCAAGCGUUAUCCGGAAUCACUGGGUUUAAAGGGUGCGUAGGCGGCUAUGUAAGUCAGAGGUGAAAUCUUUCAGCUUAACUGGAAAAUUGCCUUUGAAACUGUGUAGCUUGAAUAACGUUGAGGUCAGCGGAAUGUGACAUGUAGCGGUGAAAUGCAUAGAUAUGUCAUAGAACACCAAUUGCGAAGGCAGCUGGCUGGGCGUUUUAUUGACGCUGAGGCACGAAAGCUGUGGGGAGCGAACAGGAUUAGAUACCCUGGUAGUCCACGCUCGUAAACGAUG